AAUUAUAGGCUUUCAUCAAUUUGUAGACAUUCAAAACUAGUUAAUGAUUUUGUUGUUUUAUUUGUAUCCGGUUGGACUAAAAUAUAUUUAAAUAGGUUAAAAGAUGAGCAUUUGUGUGCAGUCGACUGUCGUGUUUUUUCCCGAAUAGUUAUUGAAAAAUUUGAAAAUGGGUGGAAUUUUGGGAAUUAUUUUGCUAAUCAGUGGUGUCACCUCCGUAUGCAGCAUACCCAUCGAAGUCCGAGGAGGAAUAGGAUUACAGGGUCAAAGGACUUGUCCCCCUGUCGAUCCCACCCUUCUUUUGACGGGGGGACCGUGCAUAUUUUUGCCAGGUGUCCACUGUCGACAUGACUUGGAAUGCGGGAGCGGUUAUUUGAGCUGCUGUCCAACCGCGUGUUACUCAAAAUGCGUAACAUCCUAUUAAAAAUUCGAGGAGAAUUUUAGCAACAUCUAUCAUGCUGAGGACAAUGGCUUAAGUGAGAGUUUAUUAUUACUUCUGAAAGUACAAAAUGCGUCAUCUGUAAAUUAUCUAAGAGGAUUUAUGAAAAUAGAAAAGUGAUCUAGCACACACAAACUAGCUUUAUCUGUAUAUUGGUCUUGGUACAAUAAAAUUUGCAAUAAAUAAUAGUUUCUGGAAAGUUAGAAACCAGAAUGAAAAUUAGAAAUAAGUACGUAUGUACUUAUACACAUGUAUCUACAUAUUUAUCUAGGAGUCUACAGGUCGUACGACAUGUUCAAAAUGAAUGGUACGAUGUUGCAGGCCCCGUUCUAGGCAAUGUGGCGCCCUAGGCAAAACUUUAGUGGCGCCCCCAUGGCCAUAUGUGCUGGCACAGUCAGAUCAAACACUUUUACUAUUGCACAGUAAAAAUCUCUGUGGAUGGAAAAUUUCCCGCUCCGUGAGCUCAAAGCAAUCCCUAAGGGGCCAAAGUUCGUAUUUUACCGUCCAACAGAGAUUCUUGCUCGGAAAUACGCCAAAAAAUAUAAUCGUACACAAAUUUGAAUUUAGCGUUCGAUUGCACAAUCAGCAAUUUUUAAAUAAAUUUGAUAACAUAUAUUUCAUCCCUAACAAAAAUAAAUGAAUAUUCGCCAUAGCACAGAAACCUCAUAAAAAUUUCUCACUUGCUUAUUAAAAAUUAAAAUCAAACCAACAAGGGAGAGCUGUAAGGUUGUUAUCCCAGGUUUGGACCGAACAAAUUUAAAAAUAUGCAUGCUCAGAAAUAAGCGGAGCGCACAUAAAGUGCAUAAGUUUCGUUUUCUAUUUGGAAUGCACGUGUUUAAGAAUGUAAUGUGGCGUAAUUAUUUAACAAAUUGUGAGCCAAAAUGUGGAUUUUCCUGAUUUGAAGCCUAUUCCAAACAUUAAGCUCACUUUUUGCUCAUUACUCCCAUGAAAUUAUAAAAAUACAUUUUUAAAUACUUUUGAACUUUUCAUGCUACGAAAAUUUCUUAAUCAUUAAGGGUGCAAAAAUGUUAUUUUUUAGAAUUAAACUUAAGUGU